CAUGUUGAAACACCAGUUCCUAUAUGAUCACCAAAGUUAAGCAAUGUUGAACCUGGUCAGUACCUAGACGGGUGACCACUUGGGAAUACCAGGUGCUGUAAG